UACGUAGGGUGCGAGCGUUGUCCGGAAUUAUUGGGCGUAAAGAGCUCGUAGGCGGUCUGUCGCGUCGAUCGUGAAAACUUGGGGCUUAACCCUGAGCUUGCGGUCGAUACGGGCAUGACUGGAGUUCGGCAGGGGAGACUGGAAUUCCUGGUGUAGCGGUGAAAUGCGCAGAUAUCAAGAGGAACACCUGAGGUGAAGACGGGUUGCUGGGCUGACACUGACGCUGAGGCGCGAAAGCUAGGGUAGCAAACGGG
rnacentral:rRNA from 1 species